AACCUGUCAGCAGGUAUCUGGCUAUGCCUGCUUCCCGCAUCCAGCCCCCACCUGGAUACCACCUGGCAGUCACAUGCACAUUUAUCAUGGAGCAGCGGCUGACUCACCCCUUUGUACCAGAACUGACUCAUACAUUAAGAGAGGGAGAACAGGCUUGUUGUGCUCCGCAAGACAGAACACAAUUCUGUGCCAGAAUUUACAGAGGACCAUUUCGACAACCCUUGAGGCUGAUUUGACUGUCUAGUAGUCCUGAAUCUGUUUCUAGAUAAGAGAAGCAGAUUGGCCCAGUUUGGCAGGACAGCCGGACCGUCCUUACGACCCAGAGGCUGGGGCCAAGCUGGAGUGUUCCAAGAGGACAAGCCCCAGUGUGGAAAAAAAGCUUUUUUGUAUUAAUGCAAAUCAUUCUGGGUGUGACUUGCUUUGUCUCCUACCCUAUAAAUAAAGCCUUUUACAGGCUUUUACAGGAUUGAGUGAGGAAAGGACUUGUUGAGCUGUGCAACUUCUGGAAAGAACAUCUACAAUUACAGUGCAGUUUUUAAAGCCUGCUGUCACCUGGCUGGACGGCUCCUAUGAGGAUGAACUCUGGCAUGGCUCCACCUGCUAGGUGCACACUUGGAGUGCCACACUUACUGUGAGGAAAUUUCUUAUAAAGAUAUAUACUUACAUACAACCCAGCAACCCCACUCACAGCUAUUUGCCGACGACAUGACAGCAUACGACCACCCAAAGACUUGCAAGUGUCAGUUCACAACAACUCUAUUUGUAAUAGCCAGACAUCAGAAACAGCCCACAUGUUUACCAACAAGUGAGUGGAUAAACAAAUCAUAAUAUAUCCAUCCAAUGGGGUAUUCAACAAUGAAAAAAAUGAACUAUUGAUACAUUCAACAACAUGGAUGAAUCUCAAAACAAGCUGAAUGAAAGAAGCCAGACUCCCCCCACCCCGCAAAAAUUACAUUAUGUGUUUGAUUCCAUUUAUAUGAAAUCCCUGGACAAGCAAACUAAUAUACAGUAACAGAAAGCAGACCAAUGGUAACCUGGAAUGGACAGUGGUAGAAGGAUGAGAGAGAGAAACUGAGGAAUUGCCGAGGGGAAUAAGGAACUUUUGGGAAUGAUAGAGAUGUUCGUUAUCUUGGUGGUAGUGAUGGUUUCCAGUGUAUAUUAUAUGAGUCAAAGGUUAUCCAAUUGUGUAAUUUAAAUAUGCACUUUUUAUUGUACAUCAUUAUACCUCAAUAAAGCUG